rnacentral:rRNA from 1 species
CCUACGGGAGGCAGCAGUGGGGAAUAUUGGACAAUGGGCGCAAGCCUGAUCCAGCAAUGCCGCGUGAGUGAUGAAGGCCUUAGGGUUGUAAAGCUCUUUUACCAGGGAUGAUAAUGACAGUACCUGGAGAAUAAGCUCCGGCUAACUCCGUGCCAGCAGCCGCGGUAAUACGGAGGGAGCUAGCGUUGUUCGGAAUUACUGGGCGUAAAGCGUACGUAGGCGGUUAUUCAAGUCAGAGGUGAAAGCCCGGGGCUCAACCCCGGAACUGCCUUUGAAACUAGGUAGCUAGAAUCUUGGAGAGGUCAGUGGAAUUCCGAGUGUAGAGGUGAAAUUCGUAGAUAUUCGGAAGAACACCAGUGGCGAAGGCGACUGACUGGACAAGUAUUGACGCUGAGGUACGAAAGCGUGGGGAGCAAACAGGAUUAGAUACCCUGGUAGUCCACGCCGUAAACGAUGAUAACUAGCUGUCCGGUCACUUGGUGACUGGGUGGCGCAGCUAACGCAUUAAGUUAUCCGCCUGGGGAGUACGGUCGCAAGAUUAAAAACUCAAAAUGAAUUGACGG